GGAAUAUUGGACAAUGGGCGCAACCCUGAUCCAGCCAUGCCGCGUGCGUGAAGACGGCCUUAGGGUUGUAAAGCGCUUUCACUGGUGAAGAUGAUGACGGUAGCCAGAGCAGACGCACCGGCUAACUCCGUGCCAGCAGCCGCGGUAAUACGGAGGGGGCAAGCGUUGGUCGGAAUUACUGGGCGUAAAGGGCGCGUAGGCGGAACAUCAAGUGAGGGGUGAAAGGCCCGGGCUCAACCUGGGAACGGCCUCUAAAACUGAUGAUCUUGAGUCCGGAAGAGGAUGGCGGAAUUCCCAGUGUAGAGGUGAAAUUCGUAGAUAUUGGGAAGAACACCGGUGGCGAAGGCGGCCAUCUGGUCCGGAACUGACGCUGAGGCGCGAAAGCGUGGGGAGCAAAC
rnacentral:rRNA from 1 species